rnacentral:rRNA from 1 species
CCUACGGGAGGCAGCAGUGGGGAAUAUUGGACAAUGGGCGCAAGCCUGAUCCAGCCAUGCCGCGUGAGUGAUGAAGGCCCUAGGGUUGUAAAGCUCUUUUGUGCGGGAAGAUAAUGACGGUACCACCAGAAUAACCCACGGAUAGCUUCUUGCCAACAACCGCGGUAA